GGUAAAGAAAAUUUAAUAGAAAGUAAUAAAAGUAACUUUUGGUCUGUCUACUAUGGGUGCUUAGGUUUAGGACUUCUUCAUCUGUUUUUGCUCAUCAUGCUCAUAGUUGUCAUUAUAUGGCAUAGAAAGACAAGGGCUGUAAUCAGUAGAGGACCUUUUUUCUUGUGUCACUUGGGUUUAUCGAUGAUUUUUGCCAUAGCACUCUCUAUAUUAUAUACGAAAUCUCAAGUCGAUGAGGUCUUAAAAAUAAAACCUAGAGCAGCAAGAAAUGAUGGCUACAUAAUAGCCAUUUUCCUUGCAUUUUCGUGCAUAAAUUUCUUUUCGGCUAUCGCAAUUCGCAUGAGAAUUAUCUAUGAAACAUUU